rnacentral:rRNA from 1 species
UACGUAGGGGCCUAGCGUUGUCCGGAUUUAUUGGGCGUAAAGAGCUCGUAGGCGGUUUGGUGAGUCGGGUGUGAAAUCUCCACGCUCAACGUGGAGGAGCCACCCGAUACUGCCAUGACUGGAGUCCGGUAGGGGAGUGUGGAAUUCCCGGUGUAGCGGUGAAAUGCGCAGAUAUCGGGAGGAACACCAGUAGGCGAAGGCGACACUCUGGGCCGGUACUGACGCUGAGGAGCGAAAGCGUGGAGAGCAAACAGG